GAUGAACGCUGGCGGCGUGCCUAAUACAUGCGAGUCGAGCGAACAGACGAGGAGCUUGCUCCUCUGACGUUAGCGGCGGACGGGUGAGUAACACGUGGAUAACCUACCUAUAAGACUGGGAUAACUUCGGGAAACCGGAGCUAAUACCGGAUAAUAUAUUGAACCGCAUGGUUCAAUAGUGAAAGACGGUUUUGCUGUCACUUAUAGAUGGAUCCGCGCCGCAUUAGCUAGUUGGUAAGGUAACGGCUUACCAAGGCGACGAUGCGUAGCCGACCUGAGAGGGUGAUCGGCCACACUGGAACUGAGACACGGUCCAGACUCCUACGGGAGGCAGCAGUAGGGAAUCUUCCGCAAUGGGCGAAGGCCUGACGGAGCAACGCCGCGUGAGUGAUGAAGGUCUUCGGAUCGUAAAACUCUGUUAUUAGGGAAGAACAAAUGUGUAAGUAACUAUGCACGUCUUGACGGUACCUAAUCAGAAAGCCACGGCUAACUACGUG
rnacentral:rRNA from 1 species